AGACGAAGGUGGCAACCGUUGUUCGGAAUCACUGGGCAUAAAGAGCACGUAGGCGGGUAAGCAAGUCGGGUGUGAAAUCCCUCGGCCUAACCGAGGAACUGCGCCCGAAACUGCAUAUCUUGAGGGCAGCAGGGGAGCGUGGAAUUCCUGGUGGAGCGGUGAAAUGCGUUGAUAUCAGGAGGAACACCGGCGGCGAAGGCGACGCUCUGGGCUGCUUCUGACGCUGAGGUGCGAAAGCCAGGGGAGCAAACGGGAUUAGAAACCCCAGUAGUCC
rnacentral:rRNA from 1 species